ACACUGGUACUGAGACACGGACCAGACUCCUACGGGAGGCAGCAGUGNGGAAUAUUGGUCAAUGGCCGCAAGGCUNAACCAGCCAUGUCGCGUGCAGGAAGACGGCCCUAUGGGUUGUAAACUGCNUUUGUACGGGAAGAAACGUAUCUACGAGUAGAUAUUUGCCGGUACCGUACGAAUAAGCAUCGGCUAACUCCGUGCCAGCAGCCGCGGNNAUACGGAGGAUGCGAGCGUUAUCCGGAUUUAUUGGGUUUAAAGGGUGCGUAGGCGGACUAAUAAGUCAGUGGUGAAAUCUUGCGGCUCAACCGUAAAACUGCCAUUGAUACUGUUAGUCUUGAAUUUAGUUGAGGUAGGCGAAUGUGUUGUGUAGCGGUGAAAUGCAUAGAUAUAACACAGAACACCGAUUGCGAAGGCAGCUUACUAAGCUAUAAUUGACGCUGAUGCACGAAAGCGUGGGUAGCGAACAGGAUUAGAUACCCUGGUAGUCCACGCCGUAAACGAUGAUUACUCGUUGUUGGCAAUACAUGGUCAGCGACUGAGCGAAAGCAUUAAGUAAUCCACCUGGGGAGUACGUUGGCAACAAUGAAACUCAAAGGAAUUGACGGGGGCCNGCACAAGCGGAGGAACAUGUGGUUUAAUUCGAUGAUACGCGAGGAACCUUACCUGGACUUAAAUGUAGGCUGCAUAGAGUAGAGAUAUUCUUUUCUUCGGACUGCUUACAAGGUGCUGCAUGGUUGUCGUCAGCUCGUGCCGUGAGGUGUCGGGUUAAGUCCCAUAACGAGCGCAACCCCUAUUGUUAGUUACCAGCACGUAAAGGUGGGGACUCUAACAAGACUGCCGGUGUAAACCGCGAGGAAGGUGGGGAUGACGUCAAAUCAGCACNGCCCUUACGUCCAGGGCUACACACGUGUUACAAUGGCCGGUACAAAGGGCAGCUACAUGGCGACA
rnacentral:rRNA from 1 species